rnacentral:lncRNA from 1 species
AUUACUAUUUUGUAUGAAUUUUGCUAAAGUUAACUGUAAAGAAACACCUACUGACUUGCAAUUUAAGGGGAAUCUAUUCUCCCCAUUUCCAAAACAAUGAUGAAUGGGCGCUGACAUGUGGAGAGAAUAGAUAUUUGUAUGUUUGCAAUGUGUGUUUUAGAUAAUUAGAAUUGGGAAAUAAAAAAAUAGCAUAUUUGUGAAUUUAAUAGCAUUAAGAUUACCUUCAAAUGAAAAAGAUCUCAAAAGUUGCUGUUUGGUUUUUGUGCAUUUUCUUUCAAAGUGUAAUCAUGAUUUUAGUGUAUUAGAUUUAUUGAGUCCUAGCCAUGUUAAGAACAUCUCCAUUCCACAUUUACCUUGAUCCCGUUGAAACUGCUGCCAAUAGUUCGGGGUACAAAGUGUUCAUACUGCUCUUUACUCACCAAGGCUGGUAGAUGUAUGUCAUCUCCCAGUUUAACAUUACUUUCCCAUACAGACCCACAAAGUCUGCUGGGUCUGAGCAAACUGGUGGGUACCUGGUUUGCUUUUGCUUAUAAAGGUCUCAAGGCCCAUUGGUCUAGUCAUUUUCCUUGGUUAAGUGUCCCACACACACAGCUUUUCAGAGCAAAGGAAUAAAAGUCACUCAUUGAAACCCCUGACUGGCUGGCAUGCUUUCCUGUUUAUCCAUUUUGCUAGAUGAUGAAACAAAAUGAUAGUAAGGUGUUGUCCAAACAAAGCAGCAGAAGAUGUAGCACACACGGUUGCUCAGUGCAAGCACCUCACAGCCCCAAAUAUCUGAACUCAAAUUCGGAAUGUCUUAAAUCCCCAAAGAAGAACACAUGGUUAUUCUUUGUGUAUAUAUAUAUAUAUCUCUCAUUUUAAAACGUCGGGUGUGACAAUUUGUUUGGAGACCCUGUUUGAGAGGAGUUUCAGAUAAAAGGUCAUAUAUAAAAAUUGUCUACUGUUGCGCCAGCUAGUGCUGAACAAUUUCAUUCAAAUCCUGAGUAUGUGCCCUGCUGUUACUUCCUUUGGCAGUUGACCGUUGAAAUCAGAUUUUUACUUGGUUUUUAAAGUAUAAGCUAAACAAGCAAUAAAAGGGGGAAUGGGGCGUGCUAGUAUUUCAAUUUGCUCUCUUGUUGCUCUACUUCUGUGCCUCUGUGCAUUAUUAAUAUUUGGAUGCAUGCAGUGCUAGCAUGGAACUUUGGUCUUCACAAUUACUGCAGUUUUUCCAGAAAACACUCACACCAAUAAAUGUAACAGAACAUUCCAUUUGUUAAUGGGCAUAUGUGCAUAAGCAGUGUAGAAAAUAGGCUCAUGUUAGAAACUGGCUACAUCCUUCAUAACUAAAAGUGUGGUUAUAUGAAUGGACACUGUCAAUGUUCAUAGCUUAAACCUGGGUACCUGGUCAAAAUGCUUAGGAAACAUUAAAAUUGAGCUAAAUUG